UUUAUAUGUUUUAUUUUAUUAUGCACUUUCUUGUUAUUUUUUCAAUUGUUUUUCUAUUUGUUUCUUCACAUUUUAUCUUAUUUUGUUUUUUUUUUUUAUUUUCUUAUUAGUGUGCUUGGAACUAUGUAAUUAAUUUAAGAACUCCUACGAUUCUGGAUUUCUCUAUUUCGGCAAAAUCAUUCAAAUUUAAGGCAGUUUUAGUUCUUUUUCUCCCUUUCUUAUGAUACUUUGCUUACUGUGAUUAUAUUUGUUUGUACAUUGAGGACAAUGUACAUCUUAAGUGUAGGGAGGAUUUUAUAUGUUUGUGUGAUAUAGUCCC
rnacentral:lncRNA from 1 species